rnacentral:misc_RNA from 1 species
GAUGAAGAACGCAGCGAAAUGCGAUAAGUAAUGCGAAUUGCAGAAUUCAGUGAGUCAUCGAAUCUUUGAACGCACAUUGCGCCCCCUGGAAUUCCGGGGGGCAUGCCUGUUCGAGCGUCUCAGGGACGAACCCUCGCGCGGGUGUACGCGCGGUCGUGGCUGCGGUGGCGUGCCCGAGGCGGCGGCCACCGCGCUGGAAUCCAUGGGCGGACGCCUGCCGCGUGGCCGAGCGUGAUAUGACGCAUUGGCGCUCGCACGCGGAGAGGCUGCCAGCCCUGGCCCGUCUGUCGGGCGGGGGAGAGCAAGACACGUGAACUCCUCGAAUCAGGUAGGGAUACCCGCUGAACUUAAGCAUAUCAAUAAGCGGAGGA